ACGUAGGGUGCGAGCGUUGUCCGGAAUUAUUGGGCGUAAAGGGCUCGUAGGCGGUUUGUCGCGUCGGGAGUGAAAACACCGGGCUUAACUCGGUGUUGGCUUUCGAUACGGGCAGACUAGAGGUAUGCAGGGGAGAACGGAAUUCCUGGUGUAGCGGUGAAAUGCGCAGAUAUCAGGAGAAACACCGGUGGCGAAGGCGGUUCUCUGGGCAUGUCCUGACGCUGAGGAGCGAAAGUGUGGGGAGCGAACAGGA
rnacentral:rRNA from 1 species